CAAGUACUGUCUUCCUCAACCGUGUUAAACCACUUGAUCAACAAUUGAGUAAGUGGUUUGCCAUGUCGUUUGAUCAAUCGCCUGUCAAGAAUAGCUUCUGGUGCCAGCAACACAUGUCCAUCAUCUGAGCGAACCAAAGGUAGAACAACAGAAGCAGUGUGGUCGCCCAACUUCCUCUUGAGCUGAGAGAUGUGGAAAGUAGGAUGGACCUUAGCAUUAGGGGGC
rnacentral:lncRNA from 1 species